rnacentral:lncRNA from 1 species
GGGCGAACCUACCAAUAGAAGAUGCCACUUGGGAGAACUAUGACGACUUAAAGAUCAAAUUCCCAGAAUUCACGAAUCAUCAGCCUCGAGGACAAGGCUGAUUUGAAGAGGGCGGGUCUGUUAGGACUCUAGCUUGGAGAGUCCUAAUUGAGAGGGACAUUCAUGUAAAACUGUUAGGACUCUAGCUAGGAGAGUCCUAAUUGAG